AUGGCGCGAUCUUGCUCGACAUCAGCAUCGGCUUCCGGCACGGUCUCCGGCAACGGUGAGCCCCGUCCGGCGGAUGAUCUUGAGAAAAGGCAGAGGACGCAGCCGGGGGUGGUGUCCCUGGAACAUCUGCUGCAGGGGCCUGACGCGGCGCCGCCUGAGUAUCUGACGCUGUCACUCACGCCCGCCGGGGAAGUACAGCCGCGGGAGCAGCCAGGGGAGGUGACGCUGAAGCAUAUAGACGCGCCGCGUGACUACCUGAAGCCCUCGCUCGCGCCCUCGGAUGAAGAUGAACUUUGCGCAGGACCAAACGCCGACCGGGCGUCGAGCGGCGGCUCUGUCGUCCAGGAAGAUAGCUCGGCCGCGUCGAGCGAUGUGGUGGAAACGGCGCUCGUGAUCGUGGAUGCCAUCGCGCCGCCGGCGGCCAAUGCGAACAGUAUUCUACCGCCCAAGAAGCGAAAGUUUGCGGCUUGUGUUUACCAAGGAACGCCGGGGACAUCAGCGCCGGCCAGCAGCAGCAGCUCACGGUCGUCCUCGCUGGCGAUCGUGGUCCGCGGCAACGACGGCGAGACGCGUUCCCCAGCAGCAAUGGACUGUCAACCCAUCGACGCUGUCCCGCUGCAGGCAGUGUGCGUCCGUGGCAGAGUAUGGCGCCCGUUAGGGCUGUGCGACGGCGCCGGAGAGAUCCCAAGGAAAGACGCGGCGUCCACCUCAAGCAGCACCACCACGGCGGCACCGUUCUCUACCUAUCCCAUCGGCGCCGUUCCGCUGCGAGCGGCGUGGUGCUCAUACGUCCCUCUCGCCGCCGGCGCAGCCUCGGGCGUCGCAGGACACCACCGCGUCCCACCGGAGCCGUCGUGGACGCGGAUACGCGCAGAGCUGGGCCUCCUGCCCGACCAUCAGCUCCACUUCAUCGCCCACAAGCGCGUCGAGCGCUCGGACCUCGACCUGCAGCAGAGCCGGCUGUUGAUACCGCGCGGCGAGGCCGCCCGCCUCAUCCCGCUCCUCUCCGACGAGGGGCGCCGCGCCGCCAACCUGGACAGGCCCUGGAAGAGGCCGAAGCGGCAGGCGCCCGGCAGCAACAACGAGAGCAGCGAGGAGAAGAAGGCGAGGGCGCAGGGGAAGAAGCACGGCGGGCUGGUCAUGCCGGUCUACAUCAACCGUGCCGGCGACCGGAUGGAUGCCCAACUGACGCGGUGGACGUCAAACGGCAACACGGUGCUGAAAUUCGGGAACCACAAGAGCUUCGUCGACGUGAGUGGCCUGCAAGCGAUGGACGAAAUCCAGUUAUGGGCGUUCCAGAACCCUGGUCUGUGUUUGGUGAUCACCAAGAUCGACGGCGGCGAGACGACGUCGGCAGCAGAAGGAGGGCAGCAGAGCAAGCCGCCUAGUAUAGUGUAG
rnacentral:rRNA from 1 species